UACGUAGGAUCCAAGCGUUGUCCGGAUUUACUGGGCGUAAAGGGUGCGCAGGCGGACUUAUAAGUCAGAGGUGAAAUCUCACAGCUUAACUGUGAAACUGCCUUUGAUACUGUAGGUCUUGAAUUAGGGAGAGAUUCGUGGAAUUCCGAGUGUAGCAGUGAAAUGUGUAGAUAUUCGGAAGAACACCAGUGGCGAAGGCAGCGAAUUGGCCCUAUAUUGACGCUCAGGCACGAAAGCAUGGGGAUCAAACAGG
rnacentral:rRNA from 1 species